rnacentral:lncRNA from 10 species
AUACCUAACUGCAAGAACUGCCGCAUCCCUGGUGGUCUGACCUUGUCUCUGAGCUAAGCAGCAGAUUUCAGCCACAGCGUCUGACUCUCAGGCAGACACAUCCUGUCCAAGGACUGGAGACAGAGCAUCCGUUCUCCCACCCAGAGCGGUCAGCUGCAUGUGGCUGGUUGGGGGGCGGUUCAGACAGAAACGGCCCAAGAGAAAUGGAAAUAUGAUGGCUGGUUGAUUGUUUCGCAGUCUGCAUGACAGACCACCCUCCUAACAAGACUCUAGGUCAAGUGCUCUUCUCUGCCCUGUGGAUCUACUGGGGAGAAAUUAGCUCUCGGUGGUAUUUCCAAUUAUGGAGAAAAGCGAUUCCUCCCUGGUCUGGCUAUCAUGUGUUUUGCAGUGGACCAAGAGACAUGAAGCCCGUUUUCCACCCUCGCCUCUUUCUCCAUCUAGCUGCAUGACCUUGGGAGGUGGCGUGACCUCUCGGCUUCUUUGCUGCCUCAUCUGUCAUGAUCCACCUUUACUACUUCAUAGCCAUGUUCUAGGAUAAAUGAGAGAAGCCUCUACAUCUUUUAGUCUCCCAGAAAGACUGGAACCAGUGAUGAGUUCCAUGAAGACAAAGACCUGUUUAUCUUGUUCUGCUCCAGCACCGAGCAGGUGCAGUGGCUUAUGCCUGUUAUCCCAGAACUUUGGGAGGCUGAGUCAGGAGGAUCACUUGAGGCCAGUUCAAGACCAGCCUGGGAA